CAGUCGCCGCGGGAAUACGUAGGGUGCGAGCGUUAAUCGGAAUUACUGGGCGUAAAGCGUGCGCAGGCGGUUUUGUAAGACAGGCGUGAAAUCCCCGGGCUCAACCUGGGAAUGGCGCUUGUGACUGCAAAGCUAGAGUGCAGCAGAGGGGGAUGGAAUUCCGCGUGUAGCAGUGAAAUGCGUAGAUAUAUGGAGGAACACCGGUGGCGAAAGCGAUCACCUGGGGUUGUUCUGACGCUGAGGAGCGAAAGCUAGGGGAGCAAACGGGAUUAGAUACCCGGGUAGUCCCUGUCUCUUAUAC
rnacentral:rRNA from 1 species